AUGAGCACUGCUUCCAUUUUUAACCUAAGGAGUAGUAUAACCCCCCACCAAAAGGGGGCGCACUAUGCGUUUUAGCAAAUGGAACCCCCCACGAACAAGAAGCCCUUUUCUCCUGUGAUUUCUUCAUGAUACCUGAAGGUCCCGGAUUUCGACGUCCAACUUGAGAGUGUCAACGGAAGUGAUUCCAUAGUUAUCUGCUACUGAAAACUCAGAAGAACCUGAAUCUGAAUGAUGAGAUGGCGUGCUUAACCCAGAUCGUGGAUACGGUGUGGCCAACCGUGUGAUCCAGAUCGAACCUGAUUCGUGUAUCGAGAAGACACCAUACUCCAGUCCUGCCCGUCACGUAGACGGGUAGUACUGAGUAUAGAGACCUAAAGACCCGGACCAGAACGGAACCAUUGAAUCCUCAAGCACACACACUAAUCAAGGACUGUACGGACGAUAUCCAGGGAACUGUACAUAUACACACUGACAGGACUGAAUUAUUUACAAGAUUUAUAUAAUAUUUACUGUUGUUUCUAUUUUAUGCUGUUUAAUACUGUUUUAUACUUUAUAUUGUGAUUGUUCGGUGACUGUUUGUGAAACAAUA